rnacentral:tRNA from 1 species
GAGGGUAUAGCUCAGUGGUAGAGUGUGUGCUUACAUGCACAAGGUCCUGGGUUCAAUCCCCAGUCCCUCCA